rnacentral:rRNA from 1 species
AACGAACGCUGGCGGCGCGCUUAACACAUGCAAGUCGAACGCAUGCUUGAUCUUCGGGUUGGGCAUGAGUGGCGCACGGGUGCGUAACGCGUAUGCAACUUACCUCUAACUGGGGAAUAGCCUUACCGAAAGGAAGAAUAACUACCCCAUAAUAUUUCGAUGUGGCAUCACAUUGUUCUUAAAGCUUCGGCGGUUAGAGAUGGGCAUGCGUCUGAUUAGCUUGUUGGUGAGGUAAUGGCUCACCAAGGCAACGAUCAGUAGGGGGCCUGAGAGGGUUACUCCCCCCCAUGGUACCUGACGACACGGACCAGACUCCUACGGGAGGCAGCAGUGAGGAAUA